AGUGAACGCUGGCGGUAGGCCUAACACAUGCAAGUCGAACGGCAGCACAGUAAGAGCUUGCUCUUACGGGUGGCGAGUGGCGGACGGGUGAGGAAUACAUCGGAAUCUACUUUUUCGUGGGGGAUAACGUAGGGAAACUUCUGCUAAUACCGCAUACGUCCUACGGGUGAAAGCAGGGGAUCUUCGGACCUUGCGCGAUUGUAUGAGCCGAUGUCGGAUUAGCUAGUUGGCAGGGUAAAGGCCCACCAAGGCGACGAUCCGUAGCUGUUCUGAGAGGAUGAUCAGCCACACUGGAACUGGGACACGGUCCAGACUCCUACGGGAGGCAGCAGUGGGGAAUAUUGGACAAUGGGCGAAAGCCUGAUCCAGCCAUACCGCGUGGGUGAAGAAGGCCUUCGGGUUGUAAAGCCCUUUUGUUGGGAAAGAAAAGCAGCAGGUUAAUACCUCGCUGUUCUGACGGUACCCAAAGAAUAAGCACCGGCUAACUUCGUG
rnacentral:rRNA from 1 species